AAACCGCAUGGUUUUGAUUUGAAAGGCGCUUUCGGGUGUCGCUGAUGGAUGGACCCGCGGUGCAUUAGCUAGUUGGUGAGGUAACGGCUCACCAAGGCCACGAUGCAUAGCCGACCUGAGAGGGUGAUCGGCCACAUUGGGACUGAGACACGGCCCAAACUCCUACGGGAGGCAGCAGUAGGGAAUCUUCGGCAAUGGACGAAAGUCUGACCGAGCAACGCCGCGUGAGUGAAGAAGGUUUUCGGAUCGUAAAACUCUGUUGUUAGAGAAGAACAAGGAUGAGAGUAACUGUUCAUCCCUUGACGGUAUCUAACCAGAAAGCCACGGCUAACUACGUGCCAGCAGCCGCGGUAAUACGUAGGUGGCAAGCGUUGUCCGGAUUUAUUGGGCGUAAAGCGAGCGCAGGCGGUUUCUUAAGUCUGAUGUGAAAGCCCCCGGCUCAACCGGGGAGGGUCAUUGGAAACUGGGAGACUUGAGUGCAGAAGAGGAGAGUGGAAUUCCAUGUGUAGCGGUGAAAUGCGUAGAUAUAUGGAGGAACACCAGUGGCGAAGGCGGCUCUCUGGUCUGUAACUGACGCUGAGGCUCGAAAGCGUGGGGAGCAAACAGGAUUAGAUACCCUGGUAGUCCACGCCGUAAACGAUGAGUGCUAAGUGUUGGAGGGUUUCCGCCCUUCAGUGCUGCAGCUAACGCAUUAAGCACUCCGCCUGGGGAGUACGACCGCAAGGUUGAAACUCAAAGGAAUUGACGGGGGCCCGCACAAGCGGUGGAGCAUGUGGUUUAAUUCGAAGCAACGCGAAGAACCUUACCAGGUCUUGACAUCCUUUGACCACUCUAGAGAUAGAGCUUCCCCUUCGGGGGCAAAGUGACAGGUGGUGCAUGGUUGUCGUCAGCUCGUGUCGUGAGAUGUUGGGUUAAGUCCCGCAACGAGCGCAACCCUUAUUGUUAGUUGCCAUCAUUCAGUUGGGCACUCUAGCAAGACUGCCGGUGACAAACCGGAGGAAGGUGGGGAUGACGUCAAAUCAUCAUGCCCCUUAU
rnacentral:rRNA from 1 species